GCUCUGUGUCCAAUCUAAGGGGAAACCAUUUCGUUUCUUUAGCUGGAGUUUCCGCUGGCACCUCUUCUCUUAUGGCAUGCUGAGAUUAAACAGCAUUUUCUAGAAAGAGAUCAGCACUUCGAACAACUAGACACUGGCUCGGCUCAUCAAGAAGGUGGACAUCGCAACGCUCUGUGCUUGUGGAGGGAGACAAUGCAGCUUGUACGCAUAGAUCACACAGUUUUUCCUCCUACAUCUCUGAAAGCAAAUCUCAGUGCACGAUGCACAUUGAUACAGGAGGAAUGCUUGCUCCAGCAGUUUUAGCUGCUCCUGGUUUCCCUCACAGAGCCUGAGUACCCACUCCCCGGGGCUGCAGCUGGCAGCAGUGACAUCGCAUUUCUCUGAUGUUCUGGCUUGGCAGUUCAAAGUCGCUCUGUGGAAGAAGACGGUUCUCUGGCGCACAGCUCUAAUUCUUAUCAUUCUGUCACAGCACAAUAUUAUCAAAGAAGGGAUUUUCUGUGAUUAGCAAAAGAAGGCAUUAACUGUGGUCAUUAGCAUUAUCAAUAUACCGAAGCAAGAAAAACAGUGCAAAGCUACAAAGAGUGUUUGUUUUUCUGUAUCUGAGCAUUAUGGUAAAAUAGGCUUCCUCAGUUAUUAGAUAGCUCAUGAAUAAAUAUAUUAUUAUGGUAGGCAUCAUACGCUUGCUAUGUUAAACACAGUCUUCAAGUUAUUGUUCUUAAGCUCAUGCGUUUCAAGUUGUGUGAUGGUUUUAUGCAGAAUCAGCUUAGAGAGAGGGGGAAUUGCAUGAGCAGCAAAAUAGUUUCCUCUCUGCCUGAGGUGUUGAUUUGCAUCAGUCCCUGAGGCAAAGUUGACCCCUGGGAAAUAGGGAUUUGCUUUUUGGUAAAACUCCUGCAAGAAGAAUUGCCUUGCAUGCCUUCUGGCUUUUUCUUCUCAAGAUUGGGGAUAUAUGUAAAUAAAGAGAGUUAUACUUAAAUUAUAUCUACAGUACAGUUUGCACUGUAAUGUAGAGAUACUUCAGAAAGCCUUUAAAAAAACUAGCUUGGCUCCUGAAAGCUGUUUGCAGCAGUUUAAUCUGGUUUUCAGUUCUGUAGAGGUCUGCUGUGGGUAUAAAGAGAGCUGGCCUGGAGCUGAAAUGCAGAUUAAGCUGGGGCAAGAGAGAAAGCUUCCAGGACUCUGGGUAGCAUCUUGGUGCUUUUCCUUGAAGAAAACCCUGACUCUGCAUCCCUGGCAUCCCCUCUCCUGUGAGGUCACCUGCACUGUGCUCCUGCUUGGGAUCCAAGACAUGAUACCUCAGCACAAGCCUGAGAUUCAGGGAGGAAUGGCUGCAUAUUUAGGUUCAGUUCUGUGAAUUGUGCCUUCUCCCUUUCAGGCUGAGAAUCACUGGCACAUUAAAAUGAGAGGAGGUGAAGUAGAUGUAAAUAAAAUGGGACAAACUGAUUAACACAGAGAGAAGUAAUUUAUGAGCAAUCAAAAAAGAAAAGCCAUGUGAAGCAGAUUAUAAUAAGCAAGAAGGCUUGCAUAUUUGUGGUUUCCUUUUUGCAGGAGGAAGAACAUACAAAAGUACUUCAAGUACCUUUCAAUAAGGCUCUAUCUUUUCCAUUUUUAAACACACAAUGUUAUUCUUUCUUCCAUGCUUUUGAAGGGACUAAAAAUUAUGCUAUAAAUUUUCCUGAAGUCCUGCUUAGAAAUUGUCCUUCGCCUCUGUGUGGUAGCAGGGCAGCAAUUGGUAUUGUUAUUUUUGCGGAUUGAAUUAGACGUUUGUUGUCUGCACUAGCCUGAAGAGGAUUUGUGAGCUACUUGUAACAAACUGUCUCAUUUCAUACCUCUUAUUUUUUUCCCCUUGGGGGCUGAAUAAGGCAUAUCAACUAUUUUUCCACAAUACGCAUCAGUUUAAUCAUCAGCGUCAUACACCACAGUGAGGCUGCUGCCGACUGUGAUGCCCAGUUCACACAGCAGCUCUGCAGCACAUCGUUUUGGUGGAGAGAUGAAUGGGAAUAAAAUGGUUUUCUUGAUGUUUCUAAAAAUUGCCAUAAAUCCAGGCUUCUUGCCCCUGACCUGUGGGCCAUACAGCUAGUACUUUGUCAGGUAUCUCAGCCCUAGCAGAAAGAGGGGCAAGCAGUUCUCAGACAAUCAGGCUGUAUUUUUCCAGAAGCACAAGUAAAUGCACUUUUCACGAAGGAGUUGAUUUUUUUCCCGUGUGACCUGUCCAGAUAUUAUACCUGUCCUGACCUCCUUUCUUUGGCACAUGCAAUAAACUUAAGCAACUCCAUCCAUAUUGUUGUUCAUUUGAGUCCAAGAUACGACACAGCAACAAUGACUUUCAUAUUUUCCUUAAAAACGAUUUAAUAAUACCUUUACAUUUCCCUUCAAACAAAAUUCUGUCUCCUUUUGGAUGCUUCUCUUUACAUUGAUAAACAGCCUGGGAAUAUGCCAUCCCAGCCACCUGCUAAGAGCCUUUAUCACCCUCUGCGGUCCCAUCCUGCAACAGCUCUGGCGAUCAGCAAUCCAUGUUUUGGCUGGGACCAGACAGUUGUGUGUUUUUGUUGUUUUUAUUGUUGUGGUUUUGUUUGCUUGUGUCCUUUGGUUUGUUUGUUUGGUUUGUUUUGUGGGGGUUUUGUGUGUGUUUGUUUGUUGUUUUUUUUUAAUCUGAUGGAUGUGAACAUCAUUUUGCUUGAGUCUUUGCUCCACUGCAUUCCUGUUAAGUGUGACUGCCUUCCCCAAAUCCUUGUUAAUUUUUAUUCCAAUUGUGUAAGAAUUUGCCUACCCUGGGCAGGCAGAGCAGCCACCAGCCAGCCCACCCUUCUGCCUCCAACAGCACACUUUGCAAAGGUGUGCAGGGGUAUUUUUUCACAGUGUGGUUUAGAGAGCCCCUCACUACACAUCCUUCAGUGACACAAAGAAUAUCGUAACAUAGAUAAAUGCACUGAGCUGCAGUUUCUCCAGAACCUGGCUGCACCCUUCCCCUCACACCGUUUUUAAAGCCCUAUGGAGUCAGCCAUAGUGAGUGUGGCAGGGACACGACACUCCCCACCCCUGUGACCGAACCCCACACACUGGCUGUAGUCACGUACACCCCCCUGAUUGGGGGACAGGCAAGGCAAGACCCCCUGCUCAGCCAACAGAGCCCUUGGCCAAUGAAACACCUCAGCUGAGAGAAGCUUCUGGACCACUGACUGUACAUGGCCACAGAUCAGAUUUUGACAUAAGGUUAUAAACAGAGGCCACUGGAGACCCCAUUCUGAAAUGGUGCCCUCGGAGCAGUAGGUCUUCCAUCGGGGUCUCUCCCCUUAGGAUAGGAACUUGGUCUAAGGAAGCCAUUUGAGGUUAAGUGCCCCACCAUUUGGUGAGCAAUUGUGUUUUCUGGACUGUCCUUGAACACCCUGGCCUUAUUGAUGAGGGAUUAGGUAUUCUGCGUAUCCUUGAGAGUCCUCCUUUGUGAGCGGGUGAAUGCAUGCCUCCAAUCAUCAUCCGGAGCUUUAGGAAUUCCUGGUGUCCUGUGUGUGUUCUCUGUGUGGUAAUUAGUUCCGAAAUGCUAUCCUGAAUCUGUAGUUAUAAUGUUGUCGGAGUGCUGAGUGAUUUUGAUAGACCUUGUUUCUAGUUUGUUUUUUCUGCUAAGCUGUUUUAAUUAAAAUAAAGUUUGC